rnacentral:rRNA from 1 species
AUUGAACGCUGGCGGCAGGCCUAACACAUGCAAGUCGAACGAGUGGCGGACGGGUGAGUAAUGUCUGGGAAACUGCCUGAUGGAGGGGUAUAACUACUGGAAACUGUAUCUAAUACCGCAUACCAUCGGAUGUGCCCAUAUUGGAUUAGCUAGUUGGAGGGGUAAAGGCUCACCAAGGCAACGAUCCGUAGCUGGUUUGAGAGGACGACCAGCCACACUGGGACUGAGACACGGCCCAGACUCCUACGGGAGGCAGCAGUGGGGAAUUUUGGACAAUGGGGGAAACCCUGAUCCAGCCAUCCCGCGUGUAUGAUGAAGGCCUUCGGGUUGUAAAGUACUUUUAGCAGAGAAGCGGUAGCUGCAGAAUAAGCACCGGCUAACUACGUGCCAGCAGCCGCGGUAAUUC